GCCGAGGGGGCGAGAAAACAGCGAGUUGGCCAGUAUUGAAAGUUUUGGACCGCGGACCACUGUAGCAGUUUCCAGGAUGAGAGACUCCUUUGCUGAAUAUUUCUGCUCCGAUGUAGGAAGAGUGCACUGGCAGGACCAAAUGAUUCAAAUU